ensembl:miRNA
CUGGUGUUUGAGGAGAUGUGGGGAUGUAGAGACAACUUCCCAGUCUCAUUUCCUCAUCCUGCCAGGCCACCAU